rnacentral:rRNA from 1 species
AACGCGAAGAACCUUACCAACCCUUGACAUCCUAGGACCACCCGAGAGAUCGGGCUUUCACUUCGGUGACCUAGUGACAGGUGCUGCAUGGCUGUCGUCAGCUCGUGUCGUGAGAUGUUCGGUUAAGUCCGGCAACGAGCGCAACCCACAUCCUUAGUUGCCAGCAGUUCGGCUGGGCACUCUAGGGAAACUGCCCGUGAUAAGCGGGAGGAAGGUGUGGAUGACGUCAAGUCCUCAUGGCCCUUACGGGUUGGGCUACACACGUGCUACAAUGGCAGUGACAAUGGGUUAAUCCCAAAAAACUGUCUCAGUUCGGAUUGGGGUCUGCAACUCGACCCCAUGAAGUCGGAAUCGCUAGUAAUCGUGGAUCAGAAUGCCACGGUGAAUACGUUCCCGGGGUCUUGACACACCG